GAAGCCAGCGGCCAUGCUGUGAGCAGUUCUCUGGAGAUGCCCAUUUGACGAAGACUGAACCUCCUGCCAACAGCCAGUUAGGAACGAAGGCCUCCAGCCAACAGCCAUGUAUGGGAACCAUUUUGGAUAGGACUCCUCCAGACCUAGUCACAGCUUCAUGUACCUGCAGCCCUUGCUGAGAUCUUCACUGCAGUCUCACAAGAUAUCCUGAACCAGAAACAUCCAGCCAAGCCACUCCCAGGCUCCUGCCCCUUAGAAACUGGACACAAGGAGGGCUCUUAGAAAUGUGUGAGGAGACUGGUGAUCAGGCAAGGAUAUUAAAGGAAGAGAAUGUGGGGCUGAGAAAAGUUAUCUAUUGCUCAAUUGGACCUCUCCAGUUUCUGUGAGACAAUGUCCUACUUUUUAAUGGGCUUAAAGUUUUUUUUUUUUUAUUUUUUACAAAUAUACUGGAGAAUCAUGCAAUGCUGCCAGCACUGGACGCAAUCCAGGGCCACAAGUCUGCACACUCCUUUGCUACUGGUCCUGUAAUGGCAGAACCUUUCAUCUCGCCUUUAUUGUUCACUGUGACCCCUGCAUUAUCUUCAAAAUAAAGAAACACGCCAUCUUUUCUGCGGUAUGACUUUCGUUGUCGAAUAACCACUGCUGGAUGUACCUUUUUUCUGAGCUCUGGUUUGCCUUUCUUGACUGUGGCCAUCACCGUGUCACCCACACCAGCAG
rnacentral:lncRNA from 1 species